AGAGUUUGAUCAUGGCUCAGAACGUACGCUGGCGGCACGCCUAACACAUGCAAGUCGAACGAAGUAGCAAUACUUAGUGGCGAACGGGUGAGUAUAAUGUGGGUAUCUGCCUUUUGGUUUGGAAUAACACGGGGAAACUUGUGCUAAUACCGGAUAAGCCUUCACAGGGAAAGUUUUAACGCCGAAAGAUGAGCCCGCACUUGAUUAGCUAGUUGGUAAGGUAAUGGCUUACCAAGGCUACGAUCAAUAGCUGAUCUGAGAGGAUGAUCAGCCACAUUGGGACUGAGACACGGCCCAAACUCCUACGGGAGGCAGCAGUGGGGAAUCUUGCACAAUGGGGGAAACCCUGAUGCAGCGAUGCCGCGUGAGUGAAGAAGGCCCUUGGGUUGUAAAGCUCUUUCGUCGGGGAAGAAAAUGACUGUACCCGAAUAAGAAGGUCCGGCUAACUUCGUGCCAGCAGCCGCGGUAAUACGAAGGGACCUAGCGUAGUUCGGAAUUACUGGGCUUAAAGAGCUCGUAGGUUGUUAGAAAAGUUGGUGGUGAAAUCCCAAGGCUUAACCUUGGAACUGCCACCAAAACUUUUUAACUAGAGUGUGAUAGAGGAAAGUGGAAUUUCUAGUGUAGAGGUGAAAUUCGUAGAUAUUAGAAAGAACACCAAUUGCGAAGGCAACUUUCUGGAUCAUUACUGACACUGAGGAGCGAAAGCAUGGGUAGCGAAGAGGAUUAGAUACCCUCGUAGUCCAUGCUGUAAACGAUGUGUGCUAGACGUUGGAAACUUAGUUUUCAGUGUCGCAGCAAAAGCGUUAAGCACACCGCCUGGGGAGUACGACCGCAAGGUUAAAAC
rnacentral:rRNA from 1 species